CGGGGCGUAGCGCAGCUUGGUCAGCGCACCUGCUUUGGGAGCAGGGGGUCGGCGGUUCAAAUCCGCCCGCCCCGACCA
rnacentral:tRNA from 1 species